rnacentral:misc_RNA from 1 species
GAUGAAGAACGUAGCGAAAUGCGAUAAGUAAUGUGAAUUGCAGAAUUCAGUGAAUCAUCGAAUCUUUGAACGCACAUUGCGCCCGCCAGCAUUCUGGCGGGCAUGCCUGUUCGAGCGUCAUUUCAACCCUCAGGCCCCCAGUGCCUGGUGUUGGGGAUCGGCCCAGCCUUCCUGUAAGGCCGCCGGCCCCGAAAUCUAGUGGCGGUCUCGCUGUAGUCCUCCUCUGCGUAGUAGCACAACCUCGCAGUUGGAACGCGGCGGUGGCCAUGCCGUUAAACACCCCACUUCUGAAAGUUGACCUCGGAUCAGGUAGGAAUACCCGCUGAACUUAAGCAUAUCAAUAAGCGGAGGA